rnacentral:other from 1 species
UGUUUCCUAGGUUGCUCGAGUCGACUUAACGCCCUUGAGCCUAUGCAUAUACCCUUGGAAAGAGUCCGUUGGUUUGGUGUGCAUGUCCUCACGUCGGAAAGCCUUAAAAAUCUCGACUCAUUCCACCUUGAACCACUGGGUUCAAGGCCAAUAGUGGAUACGACAACUUGGGAAACCC